rnacentral:lncRNA from 1 species
GCUGGGGGCUGGACUGAACUGAGAGCAGGGAGGAGAGGUGCGUGCCAGGUUGGAGUGCAGACACCGCCUGGGGAAUUCUGCUGGGGUCUGAAGCCUAGAAAUGUAGCUAAGGUGGACUGUGGGACAAAAGGAGGGCUUCUUAACACUGGAAGCUCCAGCGCAAGACCCUGCCACAGCCAGGGCAACCAGAGGACAGGCCAUGCGGAGCCCUGAGCAGAGGGCGACAGGCCUCCCGCAACCAGAGAGCAUAGCAAGGGGACAGGAGUGCCUGGCAGUGAUCGGAACACAGAACACGCACCAGGGACAGGCAGGAGGCAACCAGCCAGGAGUGACGAAUGCAAACAAGAAAGUGGGGAAGGAUUGGAAGUCACAAGAGCUCCAGGAACCGCUGCAGUGAGACUGAGAGGAAGUGGCACUUAAGAGUGGGACGAGAUUUUGAGAUGAGCCUCUAAGACAAACCUGGAUGCACACACAGCGAGCUCAGCCAGAGACUGGACAGACCGGCUCAAGGAAAGCCAAUGCUGGGGCACAGGCCGGGAGCACUUGGCAAGGCAAGGGAGCAGGAUCCUGGGUCAAUGAGGCCAAGGAAAACAAGCCAGAAACCCUGGCCUGGAGCAGGUGCAGUUUCCUCAGAAGCCUACGCAGUUUAAAGAACUCUUCCUCCAGUCUGAACUUCAGUCUGAAGUGAUGGCCCUCCUUCAAGUUCCCACUGCACACCUGUUUUGAAGGACGUCUUACAGUACCUAUACAGUAUUUCUCCCACAGAACUGUGCGUUACUACAACCAGACGGUCCUUCCUUGAAUAGCUAACUAUUCAAGGAAGGACCAUCUGGUUUCAUUGUCCUUAACAAUGAAAAGCUGCUUAAUAAAAUGUUUGCUGAGGAACUCUAUAGAUCA